CCUACGGGGGGCAGCAGUGAGGAAUAUUGGUCAAUGGGCGCAAGCCUGAACCAGCCAAGUCGCGUGAGGGAAGACGGCCCUACGGGUUGUAAACCUCUUUUGCCGGGGAGCAAGCCUGAGCACGUGUGCCCAGGCGGAGAGUACCCGGAGAAAAAGCAUCGGCAAACUCCGUGCCAGCAGCCGCGGUCAUACGGAGGAUGCGAGCGUUAUUCGGAUUUAUUGGGUUUAAGGGGUGCGCAGGCGGGCUGUUAAGCCGGCGGUAAAAAUUCAGGGCGCAACCCCGUCGGGCCGUCGGAACUGGCAGUCUGGAGUGGGCGAGAGGUAUGCGGAAUGCGUGGGGUAGCAGUGAAAUGCAUAGAUAUCACGCAGAACGCCGAUUGCGAAGGCAGCAUACCGGCGCCCAACUGACGCUGAGGCACGAAAGCGUGGGGAGCGAACAGGAUUAGAUACCCGGGUAGUC
rnacentral:rRNA from 1 species